UUCUGGAUUCGACGGGAUUUGCGAAACCCAAGGUGCAUGCCGAGGGGCGGUUGGCCUCGUAAAAAGCCGCAAAAAAUAGUCGCAAACGACGAAAACUACGCUUUAGCAGCUUAAUAACCUGCUUAGAGCCCUCUCUCCCUAGCCUCCGCUCUUAGGACGGGGAUCAAGAGAGGUCAAACCCAAAAGAGAUCGCGUGGAAGCCCUGCCUGGGGUUGAAGCGUUAAAACUUAAUCAGGCUAGUUUGUUAGUGGCGUGUCCGUCCGCAGCUGGCAAGCGAAUGUAAAGACUGACUAAGCAUGUAGUACCGAGGAUGUAGGAAUUUCGGACGCGGGUUCAACUCCCGCCAGCUCCACCA
rnacentral:tmRNA from 1 species